rnacentral:misc_RNA from 1 species
UUUCCGUAGGUGAACCUGCGGAAGGAUCAUUAUUGUAUAACCGAGGUGCGAGGGCUGUCGCUGACCCGAAAGGUCGUGCACGCCCGAGUGCCCUCACACGCAUCCAUCUCACCCCUAUGUGCACCACCGCGUGGGUCCCCCUUUGGCUUGUUCGGAGGGGGGCUUACGUUUUCACACAAACUUUGUAUGCAGUGUAGAAUGUAUUUUUUGUUUUUGCGAUCUCGCAAUCAAUACAACUUUCAACAACGGAUCUCUUGGCUCUCGCACCGAUGAAGAACGCAGC